UCCUCCAAUGACCGCGACGAGGGCGGCGC
rnacentral:sRNA from 1 species